rnacentral:misc_RNA from 1 species
AAGUCGUAACAAGGUAACCGUAGGUGAACCUGCGGUUGGAUCAUUAAUAAAAGAAGGACUUUAGAGUCCCCUUUAAUACUAGUGUCUGCCUAAAAAACAGUCCUAGUUAACCCUUGUGUGAACUGUCUGGUUACUUACCCUUGUGGUAAGAACUAGUUUUUAUUAAACCCAUGUUUUUAACAAUGUCUUAUCAAAUAUAAAAAUUUGAAACAACUUUUGACAACGGAUCUCUUGGCUCUC